rnacentral:rRNA from 1 species
AGAGUUUGAUCAUGGCUCAGAGCGAACGCUGGCGGCAGGCCUAAAACAUGCAAGUCGAACGGAUCCUUCGGGAUUAGUGGCGGACGGGUGAGUAACACGUGGGAACGUGCCUUUGGUUCGGAACAACUCAGGGAAACUUGAGCUAAUACCGAAUGUGCCCUUCGGGGGAAAGAUUUAUCGCCAUUAGAGCGGCCCGCGUCUGAUUAGCUUGUUGGUGAGGUAAAAGGCUCACCAAGGCGACGAUCAGUAGCUGGUCUGAGAGGAUGAUCAGCCACACUGGGACUGAGACACGGCCCAGACUCCUACGGGAGGCAGCAGUUAGGAAUCUUGCGCAAUGGGGGGAAACCCUGACGCAGCCAUGCCGCGUGAAUGAUGAAGGUCUUAGGAUUGUAAAAUUCUUUCAGCGGGGACGAUAAUGACGGUACCCGCAGAAGAAGCCCCGGCUAACUUCGUG